rnacentral:lncRNA from 10 species
GCAAGUCCUAAGCCCAACCGCCUGAUCUCAGGAAAUUCCUCACUUAGCAACAGCUAACCACCCUGCCCACCCCACUUCACAACAAGCCCAGAUCUCUCCCACCCGGACCUAAACUUACCCAGUCUGUAAGCGGGGGCGGGCUCUGGCCUUAGUUGGUGUCCCCCUCCGCGGGUGUUUGUUCGGUAAACCUGUGUUGCUGUAGAGCCGCCUCCGUCCGUUUUUCCUCCCGUUCCUGCGCUAACAAUGACAUUAUACCAAAUGUAACUGAUAUACUAAUACAUGCUGCUGUAAUAAGGAGUCCUCAUUUAAGUUACUGUGUCCAAAAUGAGUUUCCAGUGGUCCUCCAUCUUGAUACAUGCUCCAGUAUCACUUAUACAGAAAGGGUGGACAUGUCCCUAGGUAGCAAACUGCAACUUAACUUCAUAUGAAAACAAUCUACAACUGUAACAUAUUCUGUAACAAAUAACUGAGACUCAGUUAAUUAUAGCAGCUGGGCUUUAACCAGUCAUGGGAUGACAACUGAUCAGACCAUGUAUCUGUAUAAGGCAAGUGCUUCAUCACACCGUGGCUGAAUCAGGAAACGAUGAUGGUGAGGACAACAUGUGGUGACCCACAGGAACAUAAUCAUGUUAACUCCUGACUCUGCAAAAACUUAGCACGUGGCAUUGUUUUUAGCAUCUUCUAAGAAGCCGACAUUGAUUAAAUAGACAUUUGUUUGACUGCAUUAGAUUGCUUCUGGUUGGUUUGUUCUUUCUUCCACUAAAUUUACCAAAGAAUGUACUAGAGUAGUGUGAAAUUGGAAGUCUGGUAACUGAUCAGCAUCACCUCCACUGCUGCAUACACUAAUAACUUCAACUCAUAUUUGGUAGU